ACGUUUCACCUCGGGUGACAGGGAGACAGGUGGUGCAUGGUUGUCGUCAGCUCGUGUCGUGAGAUUGUUGGGUUAAGUCCCGCAACGAGCGCAACCUUGUCAUUAGUUGCCAUCAUUUAGUUGGGCACUCUAAUGAGACUGCCGGUGACAAACCGGAGGAAGGUGGGGAUGACGUCAAGUCCUCAUGGCCCUUAUGGGUAGGGCUUCACACGUCAUACAAUGGUCGGUACAGAGGGUUGCCAAGCCGCGAGGUGGAGCCAAUCCCUUAAAGCCGAUCGUAGUCCGGAUCGUAGUCUGCAACUCGACUACGUGAAGUCGGAAUCGCUAGUAAUCGCAGAUCAGCAUGCUGCGGUGAAUACGUUCCCGGGUCUU
rnacentral:rRNA from 1 species